UUAACACAUCUUAGAGCGCUGCUAGAUGGAUGACUAGGUUCGAAACGCUGAUGAAGGACGUGACAAGCUACGAUAUGCUCUGGCGAGUUGAAUGUAAGCGUUGAACCAGAGAUGUCCGAAUGAGACUUCUCUCUUUUGGACCUUUCGAGGUCAGGGAACGCAGGGAAUUGAAGCGUCUUAGUACCUGCAGGAAAAGAAAUCAAUCGAGAUACCGUGAGUAAGAGCGACCGAAAGCGGCAGAGUUCAAACUGAAUCCGUUACAGUAAUGUAAUGGAGAUGUGGUGUUGAAGGACUUCCCUUCCGGCCUUUUUUCUGACUUAAAGUUUCCUGAAAUGGAGCACAAUACAGGGUGAUAGUCCCGUAAAGGAAAGAAAGAAGGUCCCAGGAAGUAUCCUGAGUACUACUCCUUGAAAUUGGAGUAGGAAUCUGGGGGGCAUUAACCUCUAAAACUAAACACGUUUCGAAUCCGAUAGCAAACAAGUACCGUGAGGGAAAGUAGAAAAGAACCCUUGACAGGGAGUGAAAAGAUUCUGAAAUCUAGCAGUUAUGGUGAGGUAGGGCUUUUCGAAGUUCUACCGUGCUUUUUGAAUAAAGUGCCAGGGAGUGUAUUUAUGUGGCAAGGAUAAUCUGAAAAAGAGAAUCCGUAGCGAAAGCGAGACUCCGCAGCUUGCAAGGGAGACGGUAUGAAAGUGCCGUAAGUCACAUGGAUACGACCUGAAACCGAGCGAUCUAUUCCUGGGCAAGGUGAAGCGGGGGUAAAACCCCGUGGAGGCCUGAAGAGGUUCUACGUGCAAGUGUUCUUCUGACUUGGGAAUAGGGGUGAAAAGCCAAUCGAGCUCGGCGAUAGCAGGUUCCUAUCGAAAUUGACCUUAGUCAAGUCUCGAACGAGAUUGUUGCGGUUGUAGAGCUACGGAUAGGGAAUUUAGGCGGGGAAACUUGUCGGUUCUCUGUCCAACUCCGAAUGCUGUAACAUUGUAGACUUCGGGAAACAGGGAAUGUUGGGGUAAACUUCAUUUCCGAGAGGGGAACAACCCCGACUAUGGUUAAGGCCCCUAAGUGCUAACUAAGUGAUAAAGGGUAAACGGUGUCCGUGAUCUAAGACAGCGAGGAGGUUGGCUUAGAAGCAGCCACCCUUUAAAAAGUGCGUAACAGCUUACUCGUUGAGAUCGUGGGUCCGGAAGAUUGACGGGUCUAAGUUAGCCGCCGAUACCAUAGACCACGAAAGUGGGCGUAGGUAGGCGUCCUUCUAGGGCAGAAGCAUUUCCGUAAGGAGAUGUCGACCUGGAUGGAAUGAAUAUCCUGGUGGUAGUAAGAUCUUAGCAGGGUGAGAAUCCCUGUCAUCGUAAGGGCAAGGGUUCCUUGGCAAUGCCAAUCAGCCAAGGGUUAGUCGGUCCUAACUAGUCUCAUACUUGAGCAAUGGGAAAGGGAAAGCGGUUAAUAUUCCGCUACUGCUUCAGUAUGCGUGGCAACACAAGCUUCAUUUCUGACGCUUUGGAAUAGGCCAAUAUCGUUCGUCUACGAUAUUAAUGUGAAUAUAUCCCUGGAGUAUCAUAAUGAUGAGAACGGGAUAAAAUUACAGAUGAGCAGGCUUAUAGUCUGUUUGGUUGAUUUCUAGAGUCCAUGAAAAGGGAAUGAAGAAAAAUCUGAAGUAACCGUACCAAGAACCAGCACAGGUGCCCCUAGGUGAGAAGCCUAAGAUGUGAGAGAAUAAACUAGGUUAGGGAAUUCGGCAAAUUAGUCCUGUACCUUCGGUAUAAGGGAUCCCUGCAUUCGUAUCUGCAUAGGUGCGAUUUCAGGGCGCAGUGACAAAGGUGGUCCGACUGUUUAACAAAAACUUAACUUUCUGCUAGGCGGUAACGCUGAGUAUAGAAGGUGAUAUCUGCCCAGUGCCAGUACUUUAAGCUUCGUUUCAACGGAGUGAAGAGCUGGUAAACGGCGGGAGUAACUAUAACUCUCUUAAGGUAGCGUAAUACCUUGUCGAUUGAAUGUCGACUUGCAUGAAUGGUAUAACGAGAUCGCCACUGUCCCAACCUAGAGUCUCCCGAACACUCUUUCCUGGUGCAAAGGCCAGGGACUUCCAGUGGGAAGCGAAGACCCCGUGAAACUUUACUGUAGCCUGUCGCUGUGGUGUGGCGUCUGGUAUAUAGCGUAAGUGGGAGCCGUUUGAAGUCGUGAGCGUCAGCAUGCGACUUAGGCAACAAUGUAACACCACUUAUUAGAAACUGCAUCACUUACCUCUCUUGAGGGACACCGGUUGGUGGACAGUUUGGCUGGGGUGGCACGCUGUUGAAAGGAUAUCAAUAGCGCCCAAUGGUUGACUCAUCCGGUUUAGAAACAGUGACCGAAUGAAACAACGGUCACGCUAAAGAUCCGGAGCAGAGUGCAAGGGCAUAAGUCAGCCUGAUUGGAUUUCAAACAUAACGAACUCCAAAUACGAAAGUAUGGCCUAGCGAACUCCCGUACCUUCUUAAUGAGGGUCGGGAAUGACUGAAAAGUUACUCCGGGGAUAACUGAGUUGUCGCGCCCGAGAGUUCAUAUCGACGGCGCGGUUUGCUACUUCGAUGUCGGCUCAUCCUAUCCUGGCGGUGCAGAANNNNNNNNNNNNNNNNNNNNNNNNNNNNNNNNNNNNNNNNNNNNNNNNNNNNNNNNNNNNNNNNNNNNNCAAGGUACGCCGGGCAGCUACGCCAUAAGCGAUAAGUGCUGAACGCAUCUAAGCACGAAGCGCGCCUCAAAAAGAGACACCUUAGAACAUCGCAAGAACAGCGGUUUGAUAGAAGCGGUGUGUACGUACCAAGGCAACGAGGUAUUCAGCACGCGCUUACUAACGUUCGUAUUUUGUGUUAA
rnacentral:rRNA from 1 species